GACGAACGCUGGCGGCGUGCUUAACACAUGCAAGUCGAACGGUAAGGCCCUUCGGGGUACACGAGUGGCGAACGGGUGAGUAACACGUGGGUGAUCUGCCCUGCACUUCGGGAUAAGCCUGGGAAACCGGGCCUAAUACCGGAUAGGACCUCUGCUUACAUGGGUGGUGGUGGAAAGCUUUUGCGGUGUGGGAUGGGCCCGCGGCCUAUCAGCUUGUUGGUGGGGUGAUGGCCUACCCAGGCGACGACGGGUAGCCGGCCUGAGAGGGUGACCGGACACACUGGGACUGAGAUACGGCCCAGACUCCUACGGGAGGCAGCAGUGGGGAAUAUUGCACAAUGGGCGCAAGCCUGAUGCAGCGACGCCGCGUGAGGGAUGACGGUCUUCGGGUUGUAAACCUCUUUCAGCACCGACGAAGCGCAAGUGACGGUAGGUGCAGAAGAAGGACCGGCCAACUACGUGCCAGCAGCCGCGGUAC
rnacentral:rRNA from 1 species